rnacentral:rRNA from 1 species
GAUGAACGCUGGCGGCGUGCCUAACACAUGCAAGUCGAACGGACAGGCCCUUCGGGGUCCUCGAGUGGCGUACGGGUGAGUAACACGUGGGUGAUCUGCCCUGCACUUUGGGAUACGCCUGGGAAUUCGGGUCUAAUACCGUAUAUGCUCAUCGGCUUCAUGGUCGGUUGUGGCAAGAUUUUGCGGUGUUGGAUGGGUCCGUGGUCUAUCAGUUCGUUGGUCGGGUACUGGUUUACCAAGGCGACGAUGGGUAGCCGGCCUGGGAGGGUGACCAGCCACACUGGGACUGAGAUAGGGCCCAGAAGCCUACGGUAGGCAGCGGUGGAGAGUAUUGCGCAAUGGGCGCAAGCCUGAUGCAGCGACGCCGCGAGAGGGAUGACGGCCUUCGGGUUAUAAACCUCUUUCAGCGUAAACGAAGCGCAAGUGACGGUAUGUGCAGAAGAAGGACCGGCCAACUACGUG